rnacentral:misc_RNA from 1 species
GAUGAAGAACGUAGCGAAAUGCGAUAAGUAAUGUGAAUUGCAGAAUUCAGUGAAUCAUCGAAUCUUUGAACGCACCUUGCACCCUUUGGUAUUCCGAAGGGUAUGCUCGUUUGAGUGUCAUUGUACUCUCACACUUCUAAUUCCUUUCGGGAUUGGGAGCGGUGGACUUGGGUGUUGCUGCUUUAGUUGUGGCUCACCUCAAAUAAGUUAGUGCAACUCUUGGUUGGACAUAGUACGGCGUGAUAAGUGUCUUCGCCGGCGCCUCUGUAAGGAGGGUGGCCGAUCGGGAGCUCUGUGCUUCAAACCGUCUUCGGACAAUCUUUGACAACUUGACCUCAAAUCGAGUAGGACUACCCGCUGAACUUAAGCAUAUCAAUAAGCGGAGGA